GGCGAAAUUGUAGUGCAAGUGAAGAUGCUUGCUACCCGCGAUUGGACGGAAAGACCCCGUAGAGCUUUACUGUAGCUUAGCAUUGAAUCUCGGUAUUGUCUGUACAGGAUAGGUGGGAGACUUGGAAGCUUGGGCGUCAGCCUGAGUGGAGUCAUCCUUGGGAUACCACCCUGACAGUACUGGGGUUCUAACCGGCGGCCAUGAAUCUGGUCACGGGACAUUGUUAGGUGGGCAGUUUGACUGGGGCGGUC
rnacentral:rRNA from 1 species